rnacentral:tRNA from 1 species
GAAGGUAUAGCUCAGUGGUAGAGUGUGUGUUUAGCAUGCACGAGGUCCUGGGUACAAUCCCCAGUACCUCCA